rnacentral:lncRNA from 1 species
UAAAGCAUUGUUUUCUAAUAAAAUUCUAAAAAUAAAAUAACAAAAAAAAUUUGAAAUUUCAAUUUAUUUUUAAAUCUUUAUUCAUCUUUUGAUAUUCGUGUUUUCAAUUUUUGGUUUUCUUUCUCACAAUCCAAAAGAAAUUAAAAAAAAAAAUCUUGAUGAAUAUAUAUGUGUUCAAGAUUUAGGAACCUAAUAAUUAGAAAAAAGAUUUGUCUGCGGUAGAAAUGCAUGUAAGAAAUCAUUAAAAAUAACAUUAAAAAAAUAUCCUCUA